AUACCGAUCCCUCAUCAUCCUACUCUAUAAGCAAUCAGGCUGAAUGAGGAAUCUAGCUGUAUUUUUGACAAUCAUAGCCUCCUUCCUAACCAGUAAGGACUGGAUCCCUAAGCCCUCAUCCUGUACAAGUUGGCAGACCACUCUCUAGAAAAGUAGGUGAAGCCCAUGACUAUCAUGUCUAGAGCCCCAUAGAAAAUUCUGGAACUGCUACUCCAGACCCCUA
rnacentral:lncRNA from 1 species